ensembl:lncRNA
CGAACCCGUGCUCCCUGCAGUGGAAGCUGAAGUCUGAACUACUCAGCCACCAGGGAAGCCCCUAGAGAGAUUCUUUAGAAAAGAAGGAAAUUGCUUGGGUCUCCUGAACCGAGGGGCUCAGGUCUGGUCUUCCUCCUUAUCGCUAUCACCUUGUCCUUGGCCACAUGGAGGUGGCUUCCUACAGUUGAUGAGAAGCUGGCUUUCUCGUGCAAAGAGCCUUGUUCUUCCCAAACCAGGGCAGCUGCUGUUUUUGAGGUGACGACGCAGAGGUGUUUUUCCCACACUGUACCCACACGCUCUCUGCUUCUCUCAAGACAGUUCCGGGUCUCAGUUUCCCCCGACAGCGUCCGUCCUUUCACGCAUAUCAUAGCCUGUUUUGUUAUUGUUGUUGUUUUUACUCUGGCUAAGGAGGAUAGGAACACCAUAGGAGGGACGGAUAAACAUGGGCCCUGUGAUGAGAGGCGAGAAAACAUCAGCUCUAUUUGGGAAUUCGGUGGAGGGAGCAAUAAACGAUCUUUGGCACUUCGUUCUUUUCAGGACAGUUUCUCUCAUCUCUGAAAAUGAAUGAUCGCGAUGAGCAAGGGUUGCCAGGUAGACCGUAGAUACUAGACAUGCAGUUCGAUUUGAAUUUUAGACAAACAGCGAAUACGUUACUAAAAGUCUAAUGUUACAGUUCUGUGUAUUUGAGGUAGUUCUUAAGUCACCUCGGUGGCUCAGAC